AUUGAACGCUGGCGGCAUGCUUUACACAUGCAAGUCGAACGGUAACAGGGAGAUUGCUCCGCUGACGAGUGGCGAACGGGUGAGUAAUGCGUCGGAACGUGCCGAGUAGUGGGGGAUAACGCAUCGAAAGGUGUGCUAAUACCGCAUACGUACUGAGGUAGAAAGUGGGGGACCUUCGGGCCUCACGCUAUUCGAGCGGCCGACGUCUGAUUAGCUAGUUGGUGAGGUAAAGGCUCACCAAGGCGACGAUCAGUAGCGGGUCUGAGAGGAUGAUCCGCCACACUGGGACUGAGACACGGCCCAGACUCCUACGGGAGGCAGCAGUGGGGAAUUUUGGACAAUGGGCGCAAGCCUGAUCCAGCCAUGCCGCGUGUCUGAAGAAGGCCUUCGGGUUGUAAAGGACUUUUGUCCGGGAGCAAAUGCCUGGUGUUAAUAGCAUCGGGAGCUGAGAGUGCCGGAAGAAUAAGCACCGGCUAACUACGUGCCAGCAGCCGCCGUAAGAC
rnacentral:rRNA from 1 species